UACGAAGGGUGCAAGCGUCACUCGGAAUUACUGGGCGUAAAGCGUGCGUAGGUGGUUUGUUAAGUCUGAUGUGAAAGCCCUGGGCUCAACCUGGGAAUGGCAUUGGAUACUGGCAGGCUAGGGUGCGGUAGAGGGUAGUGGAAUUCCCGGUGUAGCAGUGAAAUGCGUAGAGAUCGGGAGGAACAUCUGUGGCGAAGGCGACUACCUGGACCAGCACUGACACUGAGGCACGAAGGCGUGGGGAGCGAACAGG
rnacentral:rRNA from 1 species